rnacentral:antisense_RNA from 1 species
CAGGAUGCCGCUGAUGGAGUACGACGAGCCGGCCGAAUCCGUGCUCACCGAGGACACCUGCGUCACGGAGCCAGUGGACACUGCGCGGAGAAAGACGGGCGGUCAGGGCCGCAGAGGGCUGAAGGCAGCGGGCCGGCUGUCACAGCACAACCUUAGGCUCUAGAGAGUUUGUAGACUUCCAGCAAGGACAACGCACGCGCAAGACCGCAAGCCCGGAGCAUCUGAGAGCAGCAGAACAGGGCCACGCGGAAAGCUCCUCCGGAUCUACCAGAAAGCUCCUUCCUUGGCAUUUGGGAGAAGAGUGGGUAUAAUAAAAUGUCCAGUUUCUUUGGAAAAGUUAUAUUCCAGUCUCAAACUGUUACCUUUUGAAAGGACAUUUAUUAGAGUUUUUCCUCAUUAUAACAGUAAUAUAUGUUCGUUGUAGACUCUUUGGACAGCAUGGGAAAGUAUAAAGAAGACAUCUAAAAACCAUAUUUUGGUGUAUUUCCUUUAUACCAGCAUUCCUGGGCAUAUUUAGAAAUAUCCAUUUUUCUCUUAACAAAAUCAGGAUUAUGCCAUGUAUACAUUUUUUUUUGUUGUGGUUGUUGUUUGUUUUGAGACAGAGUCUUGCUCUGUUGCCCAGGCUGGAGUGCAGUGGUGCGAUCUCAGUUCACUGCAACCUCCGCCUCCCAGGUUUGAGUGAUUCUCCUGCCUCAUCCUCCCAAGCAGCUGGGAUUACAGGCAUGCACCACCAUGCCC